rnacentral:rRNA from 1 species
UUAAACAUGCCAUUUCACCAUGCUACCCAAGACCGGUCACUCACUGAAGCUAAGCAGGGCUGAGCCUGGUCAGUACCUGGAUGGGAGACCACAUGGGAAAACUAGGUUGCUGUUGGAA